rnacentral:rRNA from 1 species
UACGUAGGGAGCAAGCGUUGUCCGGAAUCAUUGGGCGUAAAGCGCGCGUAGGUGGCUUCGUAAGUCCGUUGUGAAAGUCAAAGGCUCAACCUUUGAAAGCCGAUGGAUACUGUCGGGCUAGAGUGCGGAAGAGGCGAGUGGAAUUCCUGGUGUAGCGGUGAAAUGCGCAGAUAUCAGGAGGAACACCAAUUGCGAAGGCAGCUCGCUGGGACGUAACUGACGCUGAGACGCGAAAGCGUGGGGAGCAAACAGG